AUUUUCACUCACCGAUCCUGGUGUAUGUGGAAAAAACAAUAAGGACAAAUGAGUGAUAUAUCUGUAUGCUGACAGAGCUGAAGUGCUUGACUUGCACUCCAACCUGUCAUAGUAAUGCUGUCUUUUG